GACGAACGCUGGCGGCGUGCUUAACACAUGCAAGUCGAACGGAAAGGCCCUGCUUUUGUGGGGUGCUCGAGUGGCGAACGGGUGAGUAACACGUGAGUAACCUGCCCUUGACUUUGGGAUAACUUCAGGAAACUGGGGCUAAUACCGGAUAGGAGCUCCUGCUGCAUGGUGGGGGUUGGAAAGUUUCGGCGGUUGGGGAUGGACUCGCGGCUUAUCAGCUUGUUGGUGGGGUAGUGGCUUACCAAGGCUUUGACGGGUAGCCGGCCUGAGAGGGUGGCCGGCCACGUUGGGACUGAGAUACGGCCCAGACUCCUACGGGAGGCAACAGUGGGGAAUAUUGCACAAUGGGCGGAAGCCUGAUGCAGCAACGCCGCGUGCGGGAUGACGGCCUUCGGGUUGUAAACCGCUUUCGCCUGUGACGAAGCGUGAGUGACGGUAAUGGGUAAAGAAGCACCGGCUAACUACGU
rnacentral:rRNA from 1 species